rnacentral:rRNA from 1 species
GCUUAUUCCAUAAAAUACACGCCCCAUCUCGUCUGAUCUAGGAAACUAAGCAGGGUUGGGCCUUGUUAGUACUUGGAUGGGAGACCGCCUGGGAAUACCAGUUGCUGUAAGCU